rnacentral:rRNA from 1 species
UACAGAGGGUGCGAGCGUUGUUCGGAAUUAUUGGGCGUAAAGGGCGCGUAGGCGGCGCGGUAUGUCACCUGUGAAAUCUCCUGGCUCAACUGGGAGCUUGCAGGCGAAACUGCCGUGCUGGAGUGUGGGAGAGGUGCGUGGAAUUCCCGGUGUAGCGGUGAAAUGCGUAGAUAUCAGGAGGAACACCGGUGGCGAAGGCGGGUCUCUGGGCCGUAACUGACGCUGGAGGAGCGAAAGCGUGGGGAGCGAACAGG